UGAAGGGUAGCGCAGUGGUGGAGCGAUCGUUUUGCUUAUGAAAGCAAAAGGCCUUGGGUUUGAUCCCCAGCUCUUCAG